rnacentral:rRNA from 1 species
GUGGGGAAUAUUGCACAAUGGGCGCAAGCCUGAUGCAGCAACGCCGCGUGAGGGAAGACGGUUUUCGGAUUGUAAACCUCUGUCUUUGGUGACGAAGAAGUGACGGUAGCCAAGGAGGAAGCCACGGCUAACUACGUGCCAGCAGCCGCGGUAAUACGUAGGUGGCAAGCGUUAUCCGGAAUUACUGGGUGUAAAGGGAGCGCAGGCGGGUCAGCAAGUCAGCGGUGAAAUUUAUGGGCUCAACCCAUAACCUGCCGUUGAAACUGUUGAUCUUGAGUGGAGUAGAGGUAGGCGGAAUUCCGAGUGUAGCGGUGAAAUGCGUAGAUAUUCGGAGGAACACCAGUGGCGAAGGCGGCCUACUGGGCUCUAACUGACGCUGAGGCUCGAAAGUGUGGGGAGCAAACAGG